rnacentral:rRNA from 1 species
AUUGAACGCUGGCGGCAGGCCUAACACAUGCAAGUCGAACGAGUGGCGGACGGGUGAGUAAUGUCUGGGAAACUGCCUGAUGGAGGGGGAUAAAUACUGGAAACGGUAGCUAAUACCGCAUAACAUCAUAUUUGCCCAGAUGGGAUUAGCUUGUUGGUGGGGUAACGGCUCCCCAAGGCGAAGUUCCCUAGCUGGUCUGAGAGGAUGACCAGCCACACUGGAACGUAGAAACGGUCCAGACUCCUACGGGAGGCAGCAGUGUGAAAUAUUGCACAAUGGGCGCAAGCCUGAUGCAGCCAUGCCGCGUGUAUGAAGAAGGCCUUCGGGUGGUAAAGUACUUUCAGCGGUGAGGCGUUACCCGCAGAAGAAGCACCGGCUAACUCCGUGCCAGCCGCCGCGGUAAUUC